AUAGUUUACAAAGGGCUUCACAUGAUAACGAUAACAAUCAUCACUGUAUGUAUUGCAUUCCUACACUGGGGAGCUCAAUUAACUCUUGAAAUCGCCCUCCCUUUCCAUAGAUGGAAACGCAGGCAGGCAACACUCAGAGAGGUUAGGGUGCUUGUGCAAGGUCGUACAGCCCAGGGAAAAGGGCAGAGCAUAGUGGAACUCAGGUCCAUGGGUUUCAGUCUGUGCUUAUCAUCUCCUGUCCUGUCACUCUGCCUUUCUUAUCUUCUGCAGAUAACAGAACAAAACAAAACAAAACAAAAUAAAAACCAGAGAAUUUCACAGAAAACAGAGGCUGGAAUGAGUAUAAAAAUAACCAGGUAUGUUCAAGGGACUCCUCAGGUCCCCAAACAAUAUGUUUUGUGCUAAGAUUACUUUUGUAAUAAUGCAGGUGGUAGAGGGUCCAGGCGGCAGGGAGUCAGUGAGCAGAGGACUGGCUUUCUAAAUUCUAAGACUACACUGUCCAAAAUGGCAGCCAGUAACCACAUAGGGCUAUUCACAUUUAACUACAAUGAAAAAAAAAUUACAAACUUAGUUCCUCAGCUGCACUUGCUCCAUUUUAAGUGCUCAAGCAUCCACAUGUGGCUACUCAACUGGAGAGAGCACAGAGUGGAACACUUCCAUCACCGCACAAAGUUCUACUGGACAGCAUUGUUCUAAGCCCUUUGAGAGCUGCUCCUGUCUUAUCCUGACUGCCCCGGAAGGCGGUGAGCUGCUGAUGCAGGUGAUAGACACACCUGUUUUGAGGUAGCUUUGUCUGCAGCCAAGGUAUCUAUAGAUGCCAUCCCAACACCUGAGUCCCUUUGCUGUACGCUGGAGAGGUUACAACUUCAGGGAAGCAAAUAAAGGGUAGAACCCAAGGGAGUGGCCAUUAACUGAGGCCUUGCUACUCAAAGUGGGGUCUGAGGACCGGCAGCAUCAGCGUCUCCUGGGAGCUUGUUAGAAACACCAGGCUUACUGAACACCCUGUGCUUCAACAAGAUCUCCAGGUGAUUCAGGUGCACAUUUGAGAAGCUCUGACUAAGAGACAGACUGAGCAGGAUCAAAAUAUUCUUCUAAAUAUGGGGAACCAAACAAAUAUUUUUAGAUACAAAAAAAUAGCAUCAGCAUCCCAUCCCUCCAGUAGUGUGUGAUUAAGCUUUAGUCACAGAGGGCUGAGUGUCUUUGUGCCACAUGAUCAAUGAGCAUGUUUCCAAGGGCAGACCCCCUGUGGGUAGCUGGGAGGAGCCGGCCUGUGCCCAGCACCAGCACCUCGAAGCAUGGUGAGGUCGCCUCCCCAAAGCAAAGGGAACAGAACUGAGAGUCAUCUUGGAUUUCACAGAUGCUGCCUUUAAAUCAGAUUUUCUGUUUCUGUUUUUUUCUCUCCAGUGUAUUUGGUUUUUGAACUUUACAAAUCGCCAAAGACACAUUGUGAUGCACAAAGCCAGUCUGAACAAGCAUACGGUGGUUUAAAGGAGACAUCCCGGAAAGGACUAUGAACCCCUUCCACAGGGUGGGCUGCUCUGCAGGCCUCGGUGCCUGGAGCCAGGUGCUGAUGAGGCGCUCUGGGAAGGAACCAGCAUCAAGCGCAUCUGUGAAGAAAACGGGUGUAAAGGGUGGUUCCGUCCGCAGCCAGGACAAGCGCGAGGUUUAGGGUGAUACUGGCAGCAUGCGGACCCCUGGCUGGGGAGUGAGGGGUUUGCUUCAGGGAAUGGGUGGGAGCUUAAAUGCUGUGGCCCCUUCUUCAGGGAGGAUGACUCAUCACUUAAUUCCUCUCUCCUCUCAGCCCCUCUUGGGGCUUAUUUUUAUCUGGAAUGGAGUUAAGUUGCCAAAAGGAUGAUAUUCUUCACCUGCAAGGACCCUCCUGGAGGACGAAUUUUAAAAUACUCACUUUACAACUUGCUCCCAGUGAUAAUGCAGAACACAAGAAUGCCAGGGGGAGAGGAGGGGACAGUGACACGGGCCCAGCAGGGAGCCCAGGGCCUUGGGGAACUGCCAGGUGGCUCUGCGGGAGACUUUCCAAGACUUGGCUUGAAGGACUUGGACAAGAGGGAAAGGAGGGGCCGUCAAGUACGCAUCCGGGUCCCUCCUUAUAAUAGCGGGGAAAGUCAAAGCAAAACCUGUAAACAGUCCCGCUGCCUUCGGCUAGCCAGCACACAGUUCCAUUAUUUUGGGAGCAAACCUCAUCUUUUCUCCAGGGAACAGUCUGUCAUUGCCCUUAGUAUAGUCUUGGUGGCUCUGUCAGUCAAGAUGUCCCGCCCCCACUUGGCUGGGGAGCACGUGACCCAGGCAAGCCCAAUUAGCUCCUCACUUCCUUGACGGGAGACAGAGUAGGAUCUGGAAAACUUGGAUUCACCCGUCCUGGUGGUGGUCCCUGGGAGGCUGCUCCCUGGGUCUUGUAGCCGGGAUCCCUGGCCAAAUCCUCUUCCUAAUCCUUCUUGACGUCUGGCUGUUCACUCUCCUGAGAUUCCAUGUCACCUCCCAGGGUUCAGGACCCUGAGAGGCCCUGGGUUGCUUUUCCUCGAGCAAGGAGAUUUUCAGGACAUCCUCCUCUUCCACAGAGGGCUUCAUGGAAGAGGAAUUAGCUAGACUCCAGCCCCUCUGAGCUCCCCAAAUGCACUGGCAGAGAGAGCUCUCUGAAGGGAAUUGAGGAUCAGUUUUGAGGACCCAUUGUGAAUCACUGGCUUCCUGAGAACAGCUCCAGAAGAUUCGACUGGGGUGGUCACAGACACGUUUUUGGUGGACUGCCAGCAAAUGCCUCCCGUGCUGCUGGCUGAAGGCAGCUGGCAUCCCUCUGGGAGACCAGUGCUGUUCCCAUUGAACAGAUGACAAAACGGAGACCACCCAGCUGGUAAGUGGCAGAGUGGCACUUGAGCCAGGAAUUUUUAUUGCCAACCUUAGGUUCUCUCCUCCACCAAGACUGGGAUUAGACCCUGAGCAGUGGGCACCGCCUGGGGCCUUGGGGGUUUUUCCGAGGGGCACUUUUAGAAAGGCAGCAUGCAGGUGGAGCUGGGCACCAGAGACCGAGGUCUGCCCUGGCUUAGCUCCUCACAUGUCGUGUGACUUUGGCUGGGUCACUUCCCAGCUCUGGGCUUAGUUCCCCGUGUUUACCAUGAGGAGUCGGGCUCAUGUUCUCUCCGGCAACUUCUGACUCUAGCAUCGGACGACUCUGCAGUGAGGUGGGGAUGCUCCAGGAGCUCUCGAGCUUUCUGGUGGUCUUGGAUCAAAGAAUGUGUAAAUAGGGUGGUGCCAGGAGGUGGUGAGACCCCCUAAAUAGUGGGUGCCAGGGAGGAAAGGCAGAGGCCUGUCUGGGGGUAGAGGCUCAGGGAGAAGGAAUAUGCCAGGC